AGCGAACGCUGGCGGCAGGCCUAACACAUGCAAGUCGAACGGACCCUUCGGGGUUAGUGGCGGACGGGUGAGUAACGCGUGGGAACGUACCCUUUGGUUCGGAAUAGCCCUGGGAAACUGGGAGUAAUACCGGAUACGGUCGAGAGACGAAAGAUUUAUCGCCGAAGGAUCGGCCCGCGUUGGAUUAGGUAGUUGGUGGG
rnacentral:rRNA from 1 species